rnacentral:rRNA from 1 species
AACGCUGGCGGGGGCUUAACACAUGCAAGUCCAACGCCCUUCUGGGAGGUGGGGAACCCGGGUGAACACGUGUGAGAAUCUGCCCUUUUAUAGGGUAUCACGCUUGACCACUUGUGCUACCCCCUGUGCCCUAUUUUGGGGCAUUUUUAUGAAUUGUGGAUGACCCCGCUUUAGAUUUGCUAUUUGGUGGUAAAAUGGCUCCCCGAGGAUUUUCUCUUUUUGAGGCCAGUUGAUCCGCUGGCUCCCCCUGAGACUGUCCCGUUCCCCACUUUUAUACGAGGCUCAUUGGGGAAUAAUGCUCCCUGUGCACGGCCUGACGAUCCUUUGUGCCGCGUGUGUGAUGAGCUUCUUGGGGUUGUUCUCUCUUUCACCGGAAGGUAUAGUGAGUGCCUCAAACAGAGAAGCUCUCUAACUUUUCUUGCGACCACCCCUUUAUAAUACAGAGGGAUAUAGCUUUGCUCGGAAAUUGUGGUCGUAAAGCACCCGUUUGCAGAUUUCCAUCAAAGGGAAAACAUACCAUGGAUCACCCCCGGACCUGCCUGUAAUUGUGAAUCUCUAGUCCUCUAGAGAGGUGAGUGAAAUUCCGAGUGUAGGUCGUGAAAUUCUUUCAUAUGCAAAAGAACACUGUCGAGGUGGCGUCUCUGACUACAUAUGGACACGGAGAGGUGAAAGCGCGUGAAGCGAACACGGUAUGAUACCCCGGUCUUGCUCGCCCCAUUCUAUCAGAGCUAUCGAUCUUUCAGCGUGCGACUCUGUGGCGCAGAGAACACACAGAGAUCUCUCCGCGGGGAGAGCGCUGUCGAGAGUAUAAAUCAACAGAAUAUGAGCGGGGGCCCGCACGCGGUGGGGCGCAUGGUUUAAUUUUAAGUAACACGCAGAGCCCCCCCACCCCUCGACAUACGGCUGGCGGAUAUCAGGGGUCGGAUCUUUUAGUUUAGGUGGACCGCUCACAGGUGCUGCAUGGCUGUCGUCAGCUCGUGUCGUGAGAUGUUGGGUUAAGUCCCGCAACGAGCGCAACCCUCGCCUUUAGUUGCCAUCAUUUAGUUGGGCACUCUAAAGGGACUGCCGGUGAUAAGCCGGAGGAAGGUGGGGAUGACGUCAAGUCCUCAUGGCCCUUACGGGCUGGGCUACACACGUGCUACAAUGGUGGUGACAGUGGGCAGCGAGACCGCGAGGUCGAGCUAAUCUCCAAAAGCCAUCUCAGUUCGGAUUGCACUCUGCAACUCGAGUGCAUGAAGUUGGAAUCGCUAGUAAUCGCGGAUCAGCAUGCCGCGGUGAAUACGACCCGGGCCUUGCACUCACCGCCCUCAAG